rnacentral:rRNA from 1 species
UGAAUACGAGACGCUAAGGCGUCGAAGUAGUGUAUGUCAUACUUCCAAGAAAAGCUUGCACUGUCAUAAGUAAAAAAUGCCUGUACCAUAACCGACACAGGUGGGUAGGUAGAGUAUACUAAGGGGCGCGAGAUAACUCUCUCUAAGGAACUCGGCAAAAUAACUCCGUAACUUCGGGAGAAGGAGUACCUUAUUCUAUAAGGUUGCAAUAACAAGAUCCAAGCAACUGUUUAUCAAAAACACAGGUCUCCGCUAAGUCGUAAGACGAUGUAUGGGGGCUGACGCCUGCCCAGUGCCAGAAGGUUAAAGAAGUCGGUUAGCAUUAGCGAAGCUGGUAACUGAAGCCCUGGUGAACGGCGGCCGUAACGAUAACGGUCCUAAGGUAGCGAAAUUCCUUGUCGGGUAAGUUCCGACCCGCACGAAAGGCGUAAUGAUUUGGAUACUGUCUCGGAGAGGGGCUCGGUGAAAUAGACUUGUCUGUGAAGAUGCGGACUACCUGCACCAGGACAGAAAGACCCUAUGAAGCUUUACUGUAACUUGAAAUUGAAAUUGGACUUUAUUCGCGCAGUAUAGGUGGGAGGUGUUGAUUAUAAUCUUGCGGGAUUAUUGGAGCCAUCAGUGAGAUACCACUCUUGUAAUGUUAGAUUUCUAACUUUGAAUCAUUAUCUGGUCAAAGGACAGUUUCAGGCGGGCAGUUUGACUGGGGCGGUCGCCUCCCAAACGGUAACGGAGGCGUACAAAGGUUUCCUCUGAACGGGUAGAAAUCGUAUCUAGAGUGUAAAGGCAUAAGGAAGCUUGACUGUGAGACCUACAAGUCGAACAGGGACGAAAGUCGGUCUUAGUGAUCUGACGGUACUGAGUGGAAAGGCCGUCACUCAACGGAUAAAAGUUACUCUAGGAUAACAGGCUGAUCUCCCCCAAGAGUUCACAUCGACGGGGAGGUUUGGCACCUCGAUGUCGGCUCAUCGCAUCCUGGGGCGGUAGUACGUCCCAAGGGUUGGGCUGUUCGCCCAUGAAAGCGGUACGCGAGCUGGGUUCAGAACGUCGUGAGACAGUUCGGUCCAUAUCCGGUGUAGGCGUUAGAAUAUUGAGAGGAGCCUUCUUUAGUACGAGAGGACCGAGAAGGACAUACCUCUGGUGUACCAGUUAUCGUGCCAACGGUAAACGCUGGGUAGCUAUGUAUGGAGUGGAUAACCGCUGAAAGCAUCUAAGUGGGAAGCCCACCUCAAGAUAAGUAUUCUCAUC